rnacentral:rRNA from 1 species
GUGUCAGCAGCCGCGGUAAGACGAACCGUGCGAACGUUGUUCGGAUUCACUGGGCUUAAAGGGCGCGUAGGUGGUCUGUCAAGUCGGGGGUGAAAUCUUUCGGCUCAACCGGAAAACUGCCUUCGAUACUGACAGGCUAGAGGGAGGUAGGGGUUGCGGGAACUACCAGUGGAGCGGUGAAAUGCGUUGAUAUUGGUAGGAACGCCGGUGGCGAAAGCGCGCAACUGGAUCUCUUCUGACACUGAGUGCGCGAAAGCUAGGGGAGCAAACGGGAUUAGAUACCCCCGUAGUCC